GCAACCCGCUUUGGUCCCCUUCCACGCUGUGGAGGCUUUGUUCUUUCACUCCUUGCAAUAAAUCUUGCUGCUGCUCACUCUUUGGGUCCACGCUGCCUUUAUGAGUUGUAACACUCACCACGAAGGUCUGCAGCUUCACUCCUGAAGCCAGUGAGACCACGAACCCACCCGGAGGAACGAACAACUCCAGACGCGCCGCCUGAAGAGCUGUAACACUCACCGCGGAGGUCUGCAGCUUCACUCCUGAGCCAGCGAGACCACGAACCCACCAGAAGGAAGAAACUGGGAACACAUCCGAACGUCAGAAGGAACAAACUCCGGACAUGCCGCCUUUAAGAACUGUUAACACUCACCGCGAGGGUCCGCGGCUUCAGUCUUGAUGUCAGUGAGACGAAGAACCCACCCAUUCCGGACACAUUUUCAUGUGUUAUUUGUCGUCUGUAAAUCUUCUUUGGUUAGAUGUCUUCAUGUUUGUCCAUUUUCUAAUUAGACUGUGAUUUUACUGUUGAGUUGAGAGACUUCCUUAUAUAUUCUAGUCCUCUGUUGGAUAUAUGGUUUAUAAAUAUUUUCUCCCAGUCUGUAGCUUGGUUCGCAGUGGCACGAUCAUGGCUCAUUGCACCCUUGACCUCUUAAGCUCAUGUGAUCCUUCCACUUCAGCUUUCCUAGUUGCUGGGACCACAGGUAUGCACCACCACGCCUGGCUAAUUUGUUAUUUUUUGUAGAGACAGUGUCUGGGAGCCUUUCCACACUGCCCAGGCCGGUCUUGAACUCCUGGGCUCAAGCAAUCUUUCCUCCUUGGCCUCUCAAAGUCCUGGGAUUACGGGUGUAAGCCACUGCACGGCCUCAGCUUGCUUUUUUUUUUUUUUUUUUCUUGGAGAUAGAGUCUCUCUGUUGCCAAGGCUGGAGUGCAGUGGUGAGAUCUCGGCUCACUGCAACCUCCACCACCCAAGUUCAAGCAAUUCUCCUGCCUCAGCCUUUCGAGUAGCUGGGAUUACAGGCGCCCACCACCACACCUAGCUAAUUUUUGUAUUUUCAGUAGAGACAAGGUUUCACCAUGUUGGCCAGGCUGGUCUCGAAUUCCUGGCUUCAAGUGAUCUAUCCGCCUCUGCCUCCCAAACUGCUGGGAUUAUAGGCAUGAGCCACUGUGCCCAGCCUCAGCUUGCAUUUUGAGGAAUGAAAGCUUCCCACCUUCUUGGAGUUUUCAUUCUGCUUGAAGACUACCAUCAGACUGUCUAAGGCAGGCGGUUCUAAAAAGGGAACUCUUUUUUUUUUUUUUUUUUUUUUGAGACGGAGUCUCACUCUGUCGCCCAGGCUGGAGUGCAGUGGUGUGAUCUCAGCUAACUACAAGCUCCACCUCCCGGGUUCACGCCAUUCUCCUGCCUCAACCUCCCGAGUAGCUGGGACUACAGGCGCCCGCCAUCACACCCAGCACAUUUUUUGUAUUUUUAGUAGAGACGGGGUUUCACCAUGAUAGCCAGGAUGGUCUCGAUCUCCUGACCUCGUGAUCCGCCCGCCUCGGCCUCCCAAAGUGCUGGGAUUACAGGCGUGAGCCACCGCACCUGGCCUAAAAAGGGAACUCUUAAACACACAUACAAUAAGCUCUACUCUGAAGAUUCUGGUUCAGGGAUGGAGCCAGCCCCUGUAUUUUAUCUGGGGACCUGCUGUCAGCCAUUACCUAUACUCCCAAGCCAGCCAAGCCUGACCUCACCAGAUCUGGCCACUUCAGGUCUACAGCAGGAGAAACUGAGUGACUGGAGAGGGAAUGGCUCUGCAGGCAGAAGCCAAGCACAAAGGCAAGAAGGUGUUCUUGGGACAGAUUCCUGCUGAAGUCUGGAGGCCUAAGAGAUGGGCUUUCUCUGCAUGGGAGUGGAGCAAGGCUCUCUAGCUCCAACUGAGCCAAAGUAAAUGCCCUGGGGCCAGGACCUUCUGUCCCUGUUCAUUAAUUUUUUUUUUUCUGUUGCCCAGGCUGGAGUGCAGUGGCUCAAUCUUAGCUCACUGCAACCUCUGCCUCCCAGGUUUAAGCAAUUCUCCUGCUUCAGCCUCCUGAGUAGCUGGGAUUACAGCCAAACACCAUCACACCCAGCUAAUUUUUUUGUGUGUUUUAGUAGAGACGGGGUUUCACCAUGUUGGCCAGGUUGGUCUCGAACUCCUGACCUCAAGUGAUCUGUCCGCCUCGGCCUCCCAAAGUGCUGGGAUUACAGGCAUGAGCCACCAAGCCCGGCUAAUUUUUGUAUUUUUAGUAAAAACGGGGUUUCACUAUGUUGGCCAGGCUGGUCUCAAACUCCUGACCUCAGGUGAUCCACCCGCCUCGGCCUCCC
rnacentral:lncRNA from 1 species